AGGGUUCGAUUAUGGCUCAGGAUGAACGCUGGCGGCGUGCUUAACACAUGCAAGUCGAACGGGAAACCUUUUAUUGAAGCUUCGGCAGAUUUAGAUUGUUUCUAGUGGCGGACGGGUGAGUAACGCGUGGGUAACCUGCCUUAUACAGGGGGAUAACAGUCAGAAAUGACUGCUAAUACCGCAUAAGCGCACAGAGCUGCAUGGCUCGGUGUGAAAAACUCCGGUGGUAUAAGAUGGACCCGCGUUGGAUUAGCUAGUUGGUGAGGUAACGGCCCACCAAGGCGACGAUCCAUAGCCGGCCUGAGAGGGUGAACGGCCACAUUGGGACUGAGACACGGCCCAG
rnacentral:rRNA from 1 species